AUUCCACCUGUUCUGGUCAAAUUCUGUUAUAAUCCGGUGUUUUCGUAAUGUGGGUGAUGGGAAUAAGCCGCUGAUAGAGGUUUCUAUAGCUAUUUUCGGAUUUAAAGAAAAUCGAUUUUUCGCAUUUUCAAAGUGCUAUAAUUCCCUUAGUUUUUCUCGAAACUCAUUAUAACCCGGUGUUUUCGUGUUGUAGGUGAUGGGAACAAGCCGCUGGUAUAGUUAGUUCAAAUUUAAAAAAAAUCAAUUUUUGGUGAAAAAUUCGAUACGGGGGGGUAUACCCUGAAAAUGAAAAAUCUCAAACUUUGGAGGUCCAUAUCUCGGCUUCUAUGGGCCCUAUCGGGAAAAUUCCAACGGUUUUGACUUAGUUUCGUCGUCCUGAAUCCAACGAGACCAUCCGCAAGGUCGUAGCUCCCAUAUUAGCUGAGAUCUGGCAUUUUUGUGGCCCAUUUUUGGGCUCAAAAACAGGGUCGAAAAUUGACUUUUUUCCGAAUUUUCAAAGUGCUAUAAUUCCACCUGUUCUGGUCGAAUUCUGUUAUAAUCCGGUGUUUUCGUAAUGUGGGUGAUGGGAAUAAGCCGCUGAUAGAGGUUUCUAUAGCUAUUUUCGGGUAUAAAGAAAAUCGAUUUUUCGCAUAUUCAAAGUGCUAUAAUUCCCUUAGUUUUUCUCAAAACUCAUUAUAACCCGGUGUUUUCGUGUUGUAGGUGAUGGGAACAAGCCUCUGGUAUAGUUAGUUCAAAUUUAAAAAAAAUCAAUUUUUGGUGAAAAAUUCGAUACGGGGGGGUAUACCCUGAAAAUGAAAAAUCUCAAACUUUGGAGGUCCAUAUCUCGGCUUCUAUGGGCCCUAUCGGGAAAAUUCCAACGGUUUUGACUUAGUUUCGUCGUCCUGAAUCCAACGAGACCAUCCGCAAGGUCGUAGCUCCCAUAUUAGCUGAGAUCUGGCAUUUUUGUGGCCCAUUUUUGGGCUCAAAAACGGGGUCGAAAAUUGACUUUUUUCCGAAUUUUCAAAGUGCUAUAAUUCCACCUGUUCUGGUCGAAUUCUGUUAUAAUCCGGUGUUUUCGUAAUGUGGGUGAUGGGAAUAAGCCGCUGAUAGAGGUUUCUAUAGCUAUUUUCGGGUAUAAAGAAAAUCGAUUUUUCGCAUCUUCAAAGUGCUAUAAUUCCCUUAGUUUUUCUCAAAACUCAUUAUAACCCGGUGUUUUCGUGUUGUAGGUGAUGGGAACAAGCCUCUGGUAUAGUUAGUUCAAAUUUUAAAAAAAUCAAUUUUUGGUGAAAAAUUCGAUACGGGGGGGUAUACCCUGAAAAUGAAAAAUCUCAAACUUUGGAGGUCCAUAUCUCGGCUUCUAUGGGAGCUAUCGGGAAAAUUCCAACGGUUUUGUCUUAGUUUCGUCCUUGUGAAUCCAACGAGGGCAUCCGCAAGGUCGUAGCUCCCAUAUUAGCUGAGAUCUGGCAUUUUUGUGGCCCAUUUUUGGGCUCAAAAACGGGGUCGAAAAUUGACUUUUUUCCGAAUUUUCAAAGUGCUAUAAUUCCACCUGUUCUGGUCGAAUUCUGUUAUAAUCCGGUGUUUUCGUAAUGUGGGUGAUGGGAAUAAGCCGCUGAUAGAGGUUUCUAUAGCUAUUUUCGGGUAUAAAGAAAAUCGAUUUUUCGCAUAUUCAAAGUGCUAUAAUUCCCUUAGUUUUUCUCAAAACUCAUUAUAACCCGGUGUUUUCGUGUUGUAGGUGAUGGGAACAAGCCUCUGGUAUAGUUAGUUCAAAUUUUAAAAAAAUCAAUUUUUGGUGAAAAAUUCGAUACGGGGGGGUAUACCCUGAAAAUGAAAAAUCUCAAACUUUGGAGGUCCAUAUCUCGGCUUCUAUGGGAGCUAUCGGGAAAAUUCCAACGGUUUUGUCUUAGUUUCGUCCUUGUGAAUCCAACGAGGGCAUCCGCAAGGUCGUAGCUCCCAUAUUAGCUGAGAUCUGGCAUUUUUGUGGCCCAUUUUUGGGCUCAAAAACGGGGUCGAAAAUUGACUUUUUUCCGAAUUUUCAAAGUGCUAUAAUUCCACCUGUUCUGGUCGAAUUCUGUUAUAAUCCGGUGUUUUCGUAAUGUGGGUGAUGGGAAUAAGCCGCUGAUAGAGGUUUCUAUAGCUAUUUUCGGGUAUAAAGAAAAUCGAUUUUUCGCAUCUUCAAAGUGCUAUAAUUCCCUUAGUUUUUCUCAAAACUCAUUAUAACCCGGUGUUUUCGUGUUGUAGGUGAUGGGAACAAGCCUCUGGUAUAGUUAGUUCAAAUUUAAAAAAAAUCAAUUUUUGGUGAAAAAUUCGAUACGGGGGGGUAUACCCUGAAAAUGAAAAAUCUCAAACUUUGGAGGUCCAUAUCUCGGCUUCUAUGGGCCCUAUCGGGAAAAUUCCAACGGUUUUGACUUAGUUUCGUCGUCCUGAAUCCAACGAGACCAUCCGCAAGGUCGUAGCUCCCAUAUUAGCUGAGAUCUGGCAUUUUUGUGGCCCAUUUUUGGGCUCAAAAACGGGGUCGAAAAUUGACUUUUUUCCGAAUUUUCAAAGUGCUAUAAUUCCACCUGUUCUGGUCGAAUUCUGUUAUAAUCCGGUGUUUUCGUAAUGUGGGUGAUGGGAAUAAGCCGCUGAUAGAGGUUUCUAUAGCUAUUUUCGGGUAUAAAGAAAAUCGAUUUUUCGCAUUUUCAAAGUGCUAUAAUUCCCUUAGUUUUUCUCGAAACUCAUUAUAACCCGGUGUUUUCGUGUUGUAGGUGAUGGGAACAAGCCGCUGGUAUAGUUAGUUCAAAUUUAAAAAAAAUCAAUUUUUGGUGAAAAAUUCGAUACGGGGGGGUAUACCCUGAAAAUGAAAAAUCUCAAACUUUGGAGGUCCAUAUCUCGGCUUCUAUGGGCCCUAUCGGGAAAAUUCCAACGGUUUUGACUUAGUUUCGUCGUCCUGAAUCCAACGAGACCAUCCGCAAGGUCGUAGCUCCCAUAUUAGCUAAGAUCUGGCAUUUUUGUGGCCCAUUUUUGGGCUCAAAAACGGGGUCGAAAAUUGACUUUUUUCCGAAUUUUCAAAGUGCUAUAAUUCCACCUGUUCUGGUCGAAUUCUGUUAUAAUCCGGUGUUUUCGUAAUGUGGGUGAUGGGAAUAAGCCGCUGAUAGAGGUUUCUAUAGCUAUUUUCGGGUUUAAAGAAAAUCGAUUUUUCGCAUUUUCAAAGUGCUAUAAUUCCCUUAGUUUUUCUCGAAACUCAUUAUAACCCGGUGUUUUCGUGUUGUAGGUGAUGGGAACAAGCCGCUGGUAUAGUUAGUUCAAAUUUAAAAAAAAUCAAUUUUUGGUGAAAAAUUCGAUACGGGGGGGUAUACCCUGAAAAUGAAAAAUCUCAAACUUUGGAGGUCCAUAUCUCGGCUUCUAUGGGCCCUAUCGGGAAAAUUCCAACGGUUUUGACUUAGUUUCGUCGUCCUGAAUCCAACGAGACCAUCCGCAAGGUCGUAGCUCCCAUAUUAGCUGAGAUCUGGCAUUUUUGUGGCCCAUUUUUG
rnacentral:lncRNA from 1 species